rnacentral:rRNA from 1 species
GACGCACGCUGGCGGCGUGCCUAAUACAUGCAAGUAGAACGCAGUUGCGCACGGGUGAGUACCGCGUAGGUAACUGCCUGGUCGCGGGGGAUCACUAUUGGAAACGAUAGCUACUACCGCAUACUACCAGAUGGACCUGCGUUGUAUUAGCUAGUUGGUGAGGUACCGGCUCACCAAGGCAAAGAUACAUAGCCGACCUGUGAGGGUGAUCGGCCACACUGGGACUGAGACACGGCACAGACUCGUGCGGGAGGCAGCAGUAGGGAAUCUGCGGCAAUGGGGGGAACCCUGACCGAGCAACGCCGCGUGAGUGAAGAAGGUUUGCGGAUCGUAAAGCUCUGUUGUGAAGGAAGCGGUACUUAACCAGAAAGGGAAGGCUAACUACGUGCCAGCAGCCGCGGGAAUAC